rnacentral:tRNA from 1 species
GGGAAUGUGGCUCAGUGGUCGAGUGCCUGCCUCACAUGCAGGAGAUCCUGGGUUCGAUUCCUCAGCAUCA